rnacentral:lncRNA from 1 species
GAACCAAUAGUAGAAACAAGGAGAAAAGAUGGAGAAAAGAAGGAGAAAAUGAAGAAGAGGACACAGCACCCGACCCCAGCCGAAGCUAGGGCCGGUGCCACCUAAGAGCCUGGAAGAAGAUCUCACAGAAGUACUCUCACAGCAGAGAGAAAGAAACUCUCACAGAGGAGAGAACUAAAUUUUUUAAAUGCUUGGUUUACAUUUAAAAUUUGCAUAUCCCAUUAAAGAUACUGUUAUGUUAUGUAUAUGUUUAGCAUCGAGUCUGGUCCAUUUAACAUGAUGGCUUGUUUCCCAAUAACAAGGAGAAAUAAAAUCUACGACAAGCAAUUCAGUCCUUUCUUGAUUGGGUUGGCACCUUUAAAGUGAAGAGUAGUAAAUGAACCUACCAUAUUAUAAAGUGAAGAGUAGUAAAUGAACCUACCAUAUUAAAAAGAGACUUGCCUAUACUCUUAAAUGUCAUUGUGUCGUUAAUCCAAAACAAUAUAUAACGCGUUAUUGAUUUGAAAUAAUACAACAAUAACAUCAUCAGCGUAAAUAAGUCAUCUUCCCAAUCAAUUUAUUUGUAUAACAUGCAUAAUGGAAUAUCUGAUCCAGACUCGAGAGAAAGAUUUGUGAUGAAAUAAGAUGGUCCAGAUCAGAUCAUAUAACUGGGAAAUUGACUUACAUACUUGUGUAUUAUAGCUAGGCUGAUUUUUACAUGAUAGGCCUUAAUAUGAGUAGUCCUCUUGAAACCAUCUUUUCUCAUGGGUUGUUUACAUGCAAAUAUUGGAAAAGCAUUUUCAGUGCCAACAUAUAUAAUCUCAGAUAUGCAACAUAUGGACCACAUUUCCAACAUAGUAUGUCUGAAUGUAAACCCCUCCUCACCCAAAUGCAUUAUCUAACUUGAAUGCAUCGAUCUUUCGUAUUUAUUUGUGUAAAAUCCACACCAAAACAUGAAAUGCAGCAAAAUAUAGCAGUAGAUCAUCAAUAAUUAGCCACAUCGAUCUCUCCUGAUUUAGUAAUUAAUUAAUCAUGUAAAACAAAAAGAAUAAAUCAUGCUCCAAACAUAAUGGAACUGAUAUACUGAAAUUUUGGCAAGUGGACAAUUAAUCUAAUGAGAAUAUUUAGGGGAAAACUUAGUUGGCUUGUUAGACGUAGGGAGUCAUUUCUUUUUAAAUAACGAAGUGACAAUAUUUGAUUGUACAAACGUUAGUCAUUCAUAAGCGUUGAACUAAUUGACGGUUAUAAUAACAAGUAACUUCUUUGUGAUGAAAUGUCUAUUUUUUAAAAUUAAUAGAUAACUAGACAAUCUCUAAAUCUAAUGAAUUUUUUCUAGAGUCUUAUAGUUAUAGUAAAAUGAUGGUUCUUUCCUUAUAUGUAAGAAGUCAAUCAAUGUUUGUGAAUUGAGAUCCUAGAAUGUCCAUUUUGCAACCAAACGAAACCCUAAUAGCUAUGGGUGAGCAUGUAACAUGAGGCUUUUUUUUGCCGGACAUUAUUUGAAAUUACUCUAAUCUAUAAGAAGAGACUUAAGUGUAAAAAAAAAAACAUGCACAAAACGUACUUUAACCAGCUGACCAAACCUACGUCUAUUCAACAUGAGCCGCUUAGAAUAAUAUCAAGUUCGGUUCCAACUACCAUGACCCAAGCCCAAGACGAGCAGUGGUGGGCCCAAAUCAGUCACAUUGUUAGUUAGGCUAAGAUGGAGUUGAGUUUGAGUAGGGUUUUUUUGUCAAAUUUGGUUCUUGGUUUGCUGAAUGCUGAGGUUCCGAAUAACUUUAGCUUAACUACUUUUCUGCUUUAGUUGUUUCAAAACAGCCAACUGCUCCUCAUUCCCUUCCCCACCCAACCCUAACAAACAAGAUUAAAUGGUGAUCUAGUGAAGUGGUUCACAGAAAUUUCCUACAGGACCCACCACGAGCGACAGAAACUACACCUGACGUGACAGGGCCCAUCAAAUGUGUCCACGUUCAUCACGGGCCAGGCCCCACCACCGUUUUUGCCCCUGCAUCCACUUUUGUCCUGGAAUUUUCUUCACUAACCUACAAUACGAAUACUCGUAUGACAUAAGUAUACUACUAUUAUAACGUUUCGUAAAAUUAAUGCAACGCUGGAUAUAAGUUUUAUUUUACACAAUGUUAUAUUAUUGACGUGUAACGGCCCAAUAGCGGUCUACUCUUUGUAUAAAUUUUUGUUCUAUAAUACGUACUCUUGUAUUCAUAAAAGUGGGGUCUGUAAACUAUUUACAUGCAGAACGCUAAAAGAAAAAACUAGGUAUAUUUACAGCGAAGCAUGGGCACCGACACACGAUUCAAAUAUGAUAUAUAUAGGGGUGUGAUAUCC